GACGGGGGAUGCAAGCGUUAUCCUGAAUCACUGGGAGUAAAGGGUCUGUAGGUGGUGAUGCAAGUCACUGGUGCAAAACUCUGGCUCAACCGGAGGAAAGCCAGUGAAACUGCAUGACUAGAGUGUGGGAGAGGUAGAAGGAAUUCCCUGAGUAGCGGUGAAAUGCGUAGAUACAGGGAAGAACACCGGAGGCGAAAGCGUUCUACUGGAACACAACUGACACUGAGAGACGAAAGCUAGUGGAGCGAAGGGG
rnacentral:rRNA from 1 species